rnacentral:rRNA from 1 species
CCUACGGGCGGCAGCAGUGGGGAAUAUUGGGCAAUGGGCGCAAGCCUGACCCAGCAACGCAGCGUGAAGGAAGAAGGCUUUCGGGUUGUAAACUUCUUUUGACAGGGAAGAGUAGAAGACGGUACCUGUCGAAUAAGACACGGCUAACUACGUGCCAGCAGCCGAGGUAAUACGUAGGUGGCAAGCGUUGUCCGGAUUUACUGGGUGUAAAGGGCGUGUAGCCGGGUUGACAAGUCAGAUGUGAAAUCCUGCGGCUUAACCGCAGAACUGCAUUUGAUACUGUUGAUCUUGAGUACUGGAGAGGCAGACGGAAUUCGUGGUGUAGCGGUGAAAUGCGUAGAUAUUAGGAGGAACACCAGUGGAGAAGGCAGCUUACUGGACUGUAACUGACGUUGAGGCUCGAAAGCGUGGGGAUCAAACAGGAUUAGAUACCCGGGUAGUC